CGCUGGCGGCAGGCUUAACACAUGCAAGUCGAACGGUCCUUCGGGAUAGUGGCGGACGGGUGAGUAACACGUGGGAACGUACCCUUAGGUUCGGAACAACACAGGGAAACUUGUGCUAAUACCGGAUGAGCCCUUCGGGGGAAAGAUUUAUCGCCUUUGGAGCGGCCCGCGUCUGAUUAGCUUGUUGGUGAGGUAAUGGCUCACCAAGGCUACGAUCAGUAGCUGGUCUGAGAGGAUGGCCAGCCACACUGGGACUGAGACACGGCCCAGACUCCUACGGGAGGCAGCAGUGGGGAAUCUUGCGCAAUGGGCGAAAGCCUGACGCAGCCAUGCCGCGUGGAUGAUGAAGGUCUUAGGAUUGUAAAAUCCUUUCACCGGGGACGAUAAUGACGGUACCCGGAGAAGAAGCCCCGGCUAACUUCGUGCCAGCAGCCGCGGUAAUACGAAGGGGGCUAGCGUUGCUCGGAAUUACUGGGCGUAAAGGGCGCGUAGGCGGACAGUUAAGUUGGGGGUGAAAGCCCGGGGCUCAACCUCGGAAUUGCCU
rnacentral:rRNA from 1 species